UAUCGAUAGCAUCUGUUUAGGUGUGUGAAUUUAUAGGAACUGUAUGACCCUGUACCAUUUGCUGGAGCCAUAAAGCACUAAGAAAGUUGUAAAUAAAAAAUUGUGAGUCCGUUUAAAUGACUUUGUUUCCUUGAAAAAUUUAGAAAUUGUCCAAGGAGUCUGCUAACUGGUAGAGCACAGGGGAUUCACUGGAUUGUCUGAUCUGUGACAACAUGCACGUUGAACAAGUAUUUCUUAAUGAUGCUCUCAUCUUCAUUUAGCCUUGUGGUGUCAGAGAAUCCACAGAACUCCAGACUGGAUCGUGGCCAUUGCAAGCUGCAUGCUGAGUGAAGAAGUCCAGAUUCCUAUUGGUGUUUUCGUCUAAAGAUCUAGGCAAGGAUAAUUGAACUGAUCACUGUGUAUUUUUGCAGAGCAUGAGUAUAGGAAAUCAAAGUAUAUUGGCUCUCAGACCUCUGAACAAAUGUGAAAAAACUGUGGAGACAUCAGGUGG
rnacentral:lncRNA from 1 species